AACAAAAGGAAUGAAUUUAUUUUUAAUCUGAAAAACCACACACACACACACACACACACACAAAAGUAAAAAAAAACAAAACUUUAAAACUUAAAAUAUAUAAUUAAAAAAUUUUUAUGAAUAGAUCAUGUAUCAUGUAAAUUACCUCUAGAAGGUGACAAUACAGAAUUAUAAUACAAUACAAUAUUAAGUCACCUUUCGACGGAUGCACUGUUUGAUAAAACUACAUUAAAUUUAAUAAAUGAUUCUUUUAAUUUCGGAGAAUUAUAUAAUAAUUCCAUAUCAGAUAAUUGGUUGAUAACUGAAAACUGAAUUGUACAAAUUACAAUGUAUUUUAUAAAUAUGGGAUUUAUACUAUAAAAAGUACAACUUCAUACAAUAAAAAUAAUUGUUAAAUUUAUUACCGUUACUUCAAAAGUGUAACUACGUUACCGUUAUAGUUACAGAAAAAGAAACGUAACGUUGCCACUAAUCCGUUAUCAAAAAAAGUAACUGUAACGGUAAAGGUGUUACAAGUAACGUGUUACUUCCCAAUCCUGAAAAUAUGAUAUAGUUUAAGAGAAGGACAAUUACGUUAUUUUAUACAAUUGUGUAUAAUAAUCGUGUAUAAUAAUCAGUACUCAAGCCAGCGUUUAUUUCACUGGAGAAUAUUUUCUUAUUGGUUUCUCAUUGAUUACACAUUUAUGUUACAUGCUUCUUCACAUUUUCCGAAUUUGUCGGGAUAAAGGCGAUUCCUCCUCGCCAUCGUCAAUCAGCUUCGAUAGGCACGAAAGUCGUGCGAUUCAUUCAUGAAAUCUUGCGACACGCUCUCGCCACGUUACACGCUCGAUUACAUAAAAGCGUCCCGAACGAGUGCUUCGCAUAGGUGCGUUUGCUCGUGACGUUGCAAUUACCAGUCUCGCGGUGUGCAGUAGUGCUACCCACGUUAGCAAUGGUAGCUCACUAUAGUGCGACGAUAGUGAGUGUGUUGCUGUGUCUGUCUAUACAACGUGGUGGGCACACAAGUAGGACAGCACUUUCCCUGAGUACAUAGAUUGCCCGACUCGUUCCUCAAGCGAAAUUCGCUCCGACAAAUUCAAGAAUGGUACAUUAUGCAGACCACGAAGAAUAAGCGUAACAAAAAAAAAAAUAAAGAAUAACAAAAAAAUAUAAAGUCUCAAAAAUAAAGAGGACUCGGAGCAAAGAGAAACUGUUAAAGACAUUGAAAUAAUUUUAACAUUAUUUAAUUUUUCUAUAUUUAAUUUAAUAAUUUUUCUUAAUUUCGGAGAAAGUAGUUGCAGCAUAAUACUUACGUAUUUCUCCUUUUAAACUGAUCAUAAAAUGGUUAAAUAGAUUUUAUUAUGUUAAAAUAAACAUUUAUCUAGCUAUUUAUCUUUUUAAGAAUAAUAAUAAUUAAGAUUAAAUGUACAAUUCUUGUAGAAAUAAACUUGCAUUUAUUUGUAUUAUAGAUUUACUAUUAUAUAUUUAUUUCUAUAGUUCAAAACAGAAUGCUUAUUACAUCCUUGCACAAAUUAAAGAGAUCAGAUAAUAAAGAGAUUUCUUACUGUGAAUGUGUGAAUAUAUCCUUAAGUUUCAUGACGAAUAUGCACAUACACGUGUCGGCACGUAUAGUGGGUAAACUCCACACGUGUACAGGACGAGAACGAGAAUUGCUUUAAAGCUCGAGCGGAUUCGAUGUAAUCGACCCUUCGUCGUGGGAAACGGUUACUUUUCCUUCCGAGUGGCUGAACACAACUUCGCACGAGAAGCCAUUCUUAUCGUGCAACCUGUGCGCCAUUAAGUGUCUCGUUCCAGAUCUUAGUAAAUGAAUUGAGGAAAUUCAGAAUGUCUUAUCCUACUGUGCGAAUAUGAAUUUAAAGGUACGUUUUUUUGGACUUAAAAAUUUGUUGUUUCUCUUACGACUUUAAUUAAAUUUAAAGAAUAUAAUCAUAAUUGAUAUUUUAAUUAUACUAGAACAUUAUUGGCGUAAAAAACUUGAGUUAUACAAUUUUAAAAUAUAAUUGUAAAAGAUUUAAAUUUAAUGUAAUUUCUUAAAUUUAAUUAGAAUUUAAAUUUUAAACAUUUAAAAUAACACAUUUUUUAAAAUUUAAUUAAAGAUUUGAUUAAUGAAUAUUAAUUCUUAUUAAUAUUUCUUGAUAAAUUUAUAUAUUACUUAUAAGUUUAUUGUUUAUUUAUGCUAUAACUGUGUCAAAACAUGGUAGUUUGUUUUGAAUUGACAUAUGAUAUGUAUCAAGACAAACUAAUUAACAUUAUAAAAAGAACAGCGGAUAUAUAUGAGUUUAAACUUCGUAUUAUUUUUUUAAAAAUGUAAAAAAAUAAAACUUUAUGCAUUAUAUUUUGUGUUAUUAAUAUAUUAUGUAAUGAGAAAUUAUGGAAAUGUUAAUAAUUCUAUGUGAACAAAACAGCAUGUAGUAGUAUACUGAAUUUUAAUAUCUUCUGGUUGUUUGAAGUAAUUGAGUCACGAACGUCGAGCAAGAAUAUUGACGGUAGAAUUGUCUUCGCGACGUACACUUUCGUUUAUGGUGCAAGAUUUUCACUACCAUUUCCGCUCUAAUUCUAUGUAAGUCUUCGUCAUUCGGCAUGUGACGCUAGAUUCUACCAAUAAGAAACUAAAAUUCAAAAAUGAUAUAAUUUUAAUGAUUCGUAUUACAUCAACUGUAGUUUGCUUGUAACAAAAAAAAACAAUAUAAAAAAUAUAUUAUUGCAAUAAUUAAAAUAAUAAGAAAAUUAAGUAGCUUUGUAAGAAUUUUGCGAGACAACUCCGCUUUACGAAACAUUAAAUGAGAAACACUAUUAUAAAUAUUCGAACGAAACAAUCAUGUUUUUUUUUGUAUAGCAAGUGAGCUAAAAAUAGCCUUAUCGGAAUUUUCAAUCAGUCUAAUUUGAAUUAGAAUUUGUUUUGGUGGAGUUGUUUCUUCUUUAUAAAUACGUGUCCUCUUAUAUAAUCGCGCGAAUCCUACUGAGGCAUCACGCGAUACGAGGCAAAAGAGAAUCGCGCAAUAACGAGCUCUCAACGAAUUAUUACACCAGUGUGAAACUUGCAUAAAUCGGAGUUUAAUCAUGACGUCAUCUUCGGUGGGACUUUUUCAUUGUGCUUCUUUCACAAUAUAUCGAUUAAUUUCAUGUCUCUAAAUUGGAACAGCCGCCAUCGAUAAAUGCAUAUUUUUUAAAUAUCCCCCCUCUGUCUCUCUCUCUCACUUUCUUUUCUGCUACAUUAUUUGGAUCUCGAUCGAUAGACGUGCAUAAUGUAUUAGCGCAUGACAGGAUGAUAUCAGCGAUGCGGACGAUGGAUGCAAUUAAGCAUGAUCGAUGACUCGAACGACCGAAUGGCCAAGCGGACCCAGAAGUGCUUAACUGCUCGGCGAGAUGGCAAUGUGUUGUUUCAAAACUGUUCGACCGUCUCGAUCGGCUCGAAUUAAAUCUGAGAAGUAUAAUGUCGUCGUCAUUUUUUAGAACACAAUCUCGUUUGCCUCGAUCAGAAAAUAAAUGGUCUUUAUUAGUAUAACGAAUUCGAAUUUUAUCUUGCUGCCUGUUCAUGCCUAGACUGCAUUCGAUAUAAUUAUUACAUUAGAUCAGAAAUUAUUUUAUCGAAAAUAACAUUAUGCAAUAAAUAUUACGUAGUUUUUGAGAUAUUACUAAAUGCACAAUAAAUAAUUCAUGUUUACUGAAUAUUUUGCCAACUAUUAAUUUAUAGAUCUUUUUACAUUUUCUGCCUCGUUAAAAUUUGCCGCUCAUAACUUCUCAAAUUAUUAUUAUUAAUAAUUUAACACGUUGAACAUAUGUCACACGUAGAAAUAAAACAUUACUUUUUUUGACGUUAAACAAUUGGUUAUUGUAAAAAUAACUGAUAUAAAAAUAACAGUUGUCAUAAAAGUAACUUAAUAAUCUACGUUUAAAAGAAAAUUGUCUCGUUUCUUGAACAGUUGAGAAUUUCUGUACGCGCACGUCUCACGCGAGGGAUUAAUUAACGCGUAAUUUAUCGGGCACCCGUCGUCGAGCUAAGUGAACGGCAAUGACAACGCACGGCGCUGCAGCGAACGAAGGGAACCGCUCGCGAGUUUACGUUCAUUCAUGGCUGUUGGCAAUGCGCACGUCGUCGAACAAAGCAAGAUUAUUUAUAAAACCGAACGACUUCGAUCCCGCCGUUUCUCGUAAACGAAGUUAUUUUCGAAAGUGAUUUCGUGGGACCUUGUUGUGAGGUGAACUCCCCUUCUCUCCCUCCCUCCCUCUCUUCUGAAAUUCUCUCAGGCGUUUUCAAACUCUCUCGUGUCACUGUUAGAAAUUUAUUUUCGUGAUCACGUGAAAAAGAAAUGUCGGUCGACGCCUCUUGUGAGCGGUCCCCGCGAGCACCGAUCGUUACGCCGACAAUAUUGCCGAGGAAAGCAAGUGAAGCGAAAGUGAUUAACGAUACUGCAUGCACCUCAAACAUUCAACAUUGUUCACGAAAGGAAGUCACGUCUUCCGGAAGUAAACCCAGCCGGAAGGAGGUGCUCGAUGCGAAAAGGGCUCGAUUGAGACGGCUUUUCGAAUGUGACGCGAUUGAUUUGGAAAAUUCCCUUCGCGAGCUGGGAUACGCUUUUGUUCCUACGCAACCUUGACCUUUUUCAUCGCGUUUCUUUCGGUUCCACUUACGACCUUGAAGUUUAACGGAUAGGUAUUAAACGCCUCCACUUUCACCGCUUUCGAUUUAAACCGCAUUUAGCGCCGUCUUUCCCAACAUGUCAACAUAAAAUUGCCGCUUGGACAUUUAUAAAGAAUUCGAAAUUUUAUUGCAGAUUGUUUCUGCUUUACAGAUGUCGAUUUAAGAUUUUACUGAUUGGGCACAAGCAAACAGAAAUAAAAAUAAUUUUAAUGUUAUAAA
rnacentral:lncRNA from 1 species